CAAGGGCAGUUGAACGAGUCUAUGCUCAGAUUCGUGCAUGGUUUUCGCGCUCAAAUUAUAUUUAACUUGCGUUAUUUUCUUUGCAGGCAUCGCCUCCCCUCUCCCUUGUUCUCCUGUCCCGCAUCAAACCCUCUCUCUGCGAUCCGACCUUCCUCGCUCUACAAGAGGGGAAGUAAGAAAUCCAUUCGGCCCGAUCGAAGAAGCCGAGAUUCUUGCUUGCCAAGUGCGCUCUGAAACCCUAGGGCGAUUCUUGGUUCUCGCCGCGCCUACCUCGCAGAACCGUAUUUCCUUUUCAAUUCCCUGGAAUUCAGGCAGAUUAGAAUCCAUUAGGAAGUUCAAGACAGAUGGUGAGGAUGUCGACUCCUUCAAGGAAGAGACUGAUGAGGGACUUCAAGCGGCUGCAGCAGGACCCCCCUGCAGGUAUCAGUGCUGCUCCCCAGGACAACAACACCAUGCUUUGGAAUGCAGUUAUUUCCGGUCCUGAUGACACACCUUGGGAUGGAUCUGUGGCUGUUCAGCUCCUCAAAUAUUGUUUCCAAUGAAUAUGCGAGGCACUAGAAUCAUUUGUUUCAAUUACAUCUUGUUGUUAUGUUUUUGGAGGACUAUCCAAACAAUCCACCAACCAUCUGCUUUGUUUCUAGAAUGUUCCAUCCAAAUAUUUAUGCAGGUGGAAACAUUUGCUUGGAUAUCUUACAGAACCAGUGGAGAGCAAUUUAUGAUGUUGCUGCCAUAGUUACAUGAAUCUAGAGAGGCACUGGGGUAACAGUCUUUUCCCCACAUCAUCACCACUAUGUUCUCAUACAGUUUCUUGGUUACACCCUCCCUAUGGAACGAUAAAGGAGGUAAAUUGUUAGCUCAUAUGUCGGUUCCUUCUGCUGAACUAACAGCAGCUCAGUUUGGUAUUAAGGUGGCGAAAACUAAAUACCAUGCUUCAAACAUCAUUCUCGAAGGAGACUCCACCACAGUAACAAAUUGGAUCCGGACUGUAAAUAUAAACAAGCAUAAACAUCUACCUUUACUUUGUGAUAUAUCAGCUUGGAAGUCCUCAAGUUUUUUAUUCAAGGUAAAUCGUAUAUAUGGAGAAGCAAACCAGAUGCUGCUAAUGUUUAGUUUCCCUGUCAUUGACUCACUAAUGCAGAAUCAUUAUUACUUUAGCUCACUUAUGACGGCUGUACAAAGUCCAAUUUGCAUGACAAAGGUUUGCAGAAUCAAGCACAUGUGCCAAGAGCAUAGUGAAGAAGAUUUAAAGGUGGAAUUUUUAUAUGCCAACGCUGGAGGGAAGAAAUGGAAGCAUAAAAUAUCAAAAGGAGGGGAGAGAUCUGUUCAAAAUGGAGUAUUUCAGGGAACGUUAAUAAAUCCUGCUUCAAAUAAUGGGUGGAAUAGUUAUAUGAAACUUCGAAGCUACUUCUCAUUAAACGGUUCCUAUGGUUUUGGAAGGAAGCAUGUUCAACAGUAUUGGCAUAGUCUUCAGAUUGACCAUCUUGCUACGGCAGGAGUAUUUUGAUGUUUGGUGGCCAAAAAUCAAGACGUUUAUGGUUACAAUAUCUACAAAGCCACCACUGUCUUCAUGUGCAAAAUCAAGAAGGCAGAGCACUUUGCAAAAAUAAUCCAUCUACUCUCUGUGAUCAUUAACAUUGAUGUCAUCAAGAUAUCCAGAUAUACAAGGAUUGUUGGUCUUCAGGAAAUAUGGGAACGGAAGAGAAUAUCAACUGUCUUCGAAGUGGUUCAGAAGAGAUGCAUUGCUGGUUGUACUAGCUAAUGGGGAGUAGUCAAAAUGAUCAUGAGGAAAAAAGAAGCUGUGAAAAACAAAAUGCAAAUAAAAAAAAGGAGGGUUAUGAGUCUGGAAAAUAAAAGGAGAAAAACAUGAUAAAAUGAAAAAAAUGUAAGAAAAGAAAUGAGGGAGGAAAAAAGGAAGUUGAUGAAAAAAAAGGAUCUCCCAGAAACGGGGGAGUGUUUUUCACUAACCUUUACCUUUCUUGUUGCAGGGUUUAAGUCAUGUCGAAGGCAUUUUCAUUGUGUGGGCAUUAUUCAAUACCCAUCAUAUAAUAAUUUCUCUAAUCAAUUAGUGUAUGGGUGUCAUCAGGUGAUGUUAUAUAAGCAGCCAGAGCUUCACUGUCACUGUCAAUGCAAGGAUUUCUCAACAAUGAGUGUCGGAACUCAUUGCUGGCUUCAAGCUUCAUUUCUCUACUUUCAUCAACCUUGUGGGGGUAAUACCAAAAACUUAUUAUGGUCCAUGUUUAUUUUAUUGAUGGUAUCUGUGGUCUCAAGCAAAGGGAAACGGCAAUAUAUAUUUCUGAUUGCACAAGAUCGAGGUUGCAAUCUAUUUCUUCACACAAUGCUUUGGUCACGACUGGUUUUCGUGACAACCUGUGGGUUUUCUUGCUCAAUCUGGAUGUACCUGUUGCUGUGGUCUUCUGUUUUCAUGCAUUGCAACGAGUGCUUUGCUCUUAUACAACUUAUCAAGUAUUAUUGGAUCCUCAUGUUACGAGCUUAUUCCUAUUAUCAAGUUGGCAGGUUCCUACAGUAGAUGCCAUUUUUCCUACUCUUAUGUUAAUACAUCAUCAGCUUUUACUGAUUCAGCAUGCUACAUGUCUCAACUCCAAACGUUCUGCUGCUUCAAGCUACUCCCUAGACAGUCUGUCAUGGAAAUCGGCUACUACAGUUCAACACAGCAUGGGAAUUUUAAGAUCAAUAGAGAUGCGUUUGCCUAGUUACAAUCUUAUAUUUCUUUUCGCAUGGAUAUUUUUACUGUUUAUACUCCUACAAAGGAACUUUUGUUUACCAGGACACCAUAUUUCUUGUUCUGUAAAGAUUCCUGCGAAAGCUGUUGCUUAAUAUCCUUUCUUAUCUUCCAUCAUGUAAGCUGUUGUCACUUGUGUUUUCAGCCUGCUUUUUGUUUCACGUACUGCAGGUUU